rnacentral:rRNA from 1 species
AGAAUCAACGCUGGCGGCGUGCCUAACACAUGCAAGUCGAACGAGAAAGGGGUAGCAAUACCCUGAGUAAAGUGGCGCACGGGUGAGUAACACGUGACUAACCUACCCUUGAGUGGGGGAUAACUGAGGGAAACCUUAGCUAAUACCGCAUAAUACCCACGGGUCAAAGGAGCAAUUCGCUCGAGGAGGGGGUCGCGGCCGAUUAGUUAGUUGGCGGGGUAAUGGCCCACCAAGACGAUGAUCGGUAUCCGG